rfam:Candidatus Kaiserbacteria bacterium RIFCSPHIGHO2_02_FTLL_50_50 rifcsphigho2_02_scaffold_484, whole genome shotgun sequence.
CGUCGUGAGACAGGUUGGUCCCUAUCUACUGCAGGCGUUGAAUAUUGAGGAGAUUUGUCCCUAGUACGAGAGGACCGGGAUGAACGAACCUCUGGUCUAUCAGCUGUCACGCCCGUGGCAACGCUGAGUAGCUAUGUUCGGAAUGAAUAACCGCUGAAAGCAUCUAAGUGGGAAGUCAACUCCAAGAUUAGUAUUCGUUAAGUCCCCUAAGAGAUUAUUAGGUUGAUAGGCAUUAGAUGUACGCACAGUAAUGUGUUUAGUCGAGAUGUACUAAUCGGACGUAUUUUCCUGCAA